UGUUCAUCAUGCUAUUGUAAAAUAAGAUGACAUGGGUAUAUUGUGAUUUGUUAAUUUGGUGCAGGAAAGGUAUGCAAUGCAUAGUUUUGGAAAGAUUAGAGAGCUUGAGAUACACUGGGGGAGGGUCAAAAGAUAUAUGGCUUGACAAGAACAAGCAGCCAGAUAUUUCAUUCAUGUUAGAGCCUUUAACAAUGAAGAAUACCAACAAAUGCAAAUUGAGUUACAAGACAUGAAGAAUCAGGUGAAGCAAUUAGAAGAGAUGAGAAAUCAGGAAUUAGAAGUGAUGAGAAAGCAAAUGGAAGAGACGAAGAGCCAACUUGCUAUGGUAUCUAAUAAUCGGAAUGAAAUUUAGAUAUUGUGUACGAGACAAGAUAGCUUUUUAUAUGUUAUGUAUGAAGUAUGUAUGACUUAUGAAUUAUAAACCUUGUACGUAUGGAUGUUGCUGUUGCUUUUGCUUUUAAUUUAUGACUUUUCUUUUAUUCAAA